UGGGAGGAGUACCAUGGCUGGUUUCCUCUACUACACAGAAAGUCUGAAGAUAUAUGCAAGCAUACAGUGGCUAUAUUUAAAGUCUUUAUUAACUUGCAUUAUAGUUAUAGGUGUUGGGAUAAAACUUUUAAAUCAGCCUCAAAACCUACUACAGUAGGUAGCUCAUUCCUCAAUAUCAUACAAAGCAUGGACUUUAUGCAAGACUACCAUGCAAGGCUGAUAGAAAAACCUUAGAUAAAGAGCCUUACUUUCUACAAAAGAAGAUCCCUUAUAGUCUAAGAAUUCAGUUCUUUUCUGGUUUUGUGGCUCAAUGAAUGGCAACAGUGAUCUGUUAUCUUCUUUUACCUUCCUUGUUUGGGGUAAAUUUUCUGUUAAGAUUCUAAGAUUUGUGCUUUCAGCUAGUUAUGUCUAGUUCUAUCUAUAUGUUAGUUACACAGUUCUUCCUUUUGAUAAAUUCAACCCACAGAAAAACUGCCCACUACGUGUACUUUCUUUGAUCAUCAGAAAGUAUCAUAACUCCUCAUGUGGGAAGUGUCUUCCUACAUACUCAAAAUCCAUAUUUCAUCAUCAUUCUUCAACUAUGUAGGCUUAUAUUGAUUGACAAUAUUAAGUUUAUAUCAUGUGAUCUGUCUCGCUAUUCCUUCCGGUGUCCUUGUCAUUAUGAACUUUAGCAGACUCUCUUCACAGGCCAUAACCAUUUUAGCACUGUAGUAUGCUUUCUAGUCAUCUUCAUUGUUACCUACUUAAAUCUUAAGGAAAAAUUGAACUGUUAGGUAAACUUUCAAAAGGUAUUUUUACUUAGGAUCCUUAGCAUUAAAGCAUUUGGACCACGGUGUUUUUGUUAGUUUUAAAACCCAACUAUGGGAUAGCCUUGUAGCAUUCUAACCCAGAUCUGUUUGUCAGAGCUCUCUGUUUCUGAAAAAAAUUUUUUUCCACUGCAUAGUUCAGGCAGCUUUGACUUGAGUCCUCUUUCCUGAGUCUCCUGAGUACAGUAGGUACUAUCAAUAUAAGAUGGUCAAAAUCAAAACGGUGUACUAGAAAACAGCCCAGGCAGCUAAUGACUAUUGCAGCAAAUACUCUUGCUUUCUUUGUUGUUUGCCACCAAAAUUGGUAUCCUUGAGCACUGUGCUGUUUUGUUCUUGAGUCACAUAUGAAUGAAGUUGUCUAAUAUGGAUUGUUUUGUAUCUGAUGUUAACUUUAUGUGUGUAAGACUUAUCCAUAGCAUGCCUAGUUGUGGCUCAGCUUACUCUUGUUGCUGUCUCCUGCUCCAGAAUGUACAUGCCACAGUUUACUCAGUGUACUGUUUAUGGGCGGUAGGCUUUUGUUUGGGGGAAUAGGCAAUAUGUGUGCAUUUUUGUUAGGGUAUAUACAUACCUAAGGGUAGAAUUUCUGAGUCAUGGGAUAUAUCUUUAACAAUUUCCAAUCAGUGUACAGGAAUUUCUGAAUGAUUAGCCACCUCCCCAAUACUUACAUUGCCAUAUAUCAUAUAUAUACUGUUAGUCAUUAUAAAAUGCAUGACACUUCUUAAAUUUGGACUUCUGUUCAUUUAAUGUGCACAAAUAGGUUUAGCCUUCAGAUACUUUGUUUUCUGAACAUGCUAAACAUACUUUCUGUUUUUCUAUACUUGCUUGGGUGGUUUAAUUUUUUUUCCUAAUUCUUUCUGAACCCUGCAUAUAAUCUUUUGAUCAGUUAUUUCUGUUGCAAGCAUCUUGCACUCUGUAGUUGGUUUUUCUACUCUCUCAAAAGUGUCUUUCAAGCCAGGCAUGGUAGCAUAUACAAGCAGUCAUAGCACUAAGUAGAGGCUGAGGCUAAAUGAUCACCAGAUGAAGCCUGGCUUUCAAAAACUUUCAUUACAAGUUUCUGCC
rnacentral:lncRNA from 1 species